rnacentral:rRNA from 1 species
AGUGAACGCUGGCGGUAGGCCUAACACAUGCAAGUCGAACGGCAGCACAGUAAGAGCUUGCUCUUACGGGUGGCGAGUGGCGGACGGGUGAGGAAUACAUCGGAAUCUACUUUUUCGUGGGGGAUAACGUAGGGAAACUUACGCUAAUACCGCAUACGACCUACGGGGGAAAGCAGGGGAUCUUCGGACCUUGCGCGAUUGAAUGAGCCGAUGUCGGAUUAGCUAGUUGGCGGGGUAAAGGCCCACCAAGGCGACGAUCCGUAGCUGGUCUGAGAGGAUGAUCAGCCACACUGGAACUGAGACACGGUCCAGACUCCUACGGGAGGCAGCAGUGGGGAAUAUUGGACAAUGGGCGCAAGCCUGAUCCAGCCAUACCGCGUGGGUGAAGAAGGCCUUCGGGUUGUAAAGCCCUUUUGUUGGGAAAGAAAAGCAGCAGGUUAAUACCCCGCUGUUCUGGCGGUACCCAAAGAAUAAGCACCGGCUAACUUCGUG